GUGGGGAAUCUUGCGCAAUGGGCGAAAGCCUGACGCAGCCAUGCCGCGUGGAUGAUGAAGGUCUUAGGAUUGUAAAAUCCUUUCACCGGGGACGAUAAUGACGGUACCCGGAGAAGAAGCCCCGGCUAACUUCGUGCCAGCAGCCGCGGUAAUACGAAGGGGGCUAGCGUUGCUCGGAAUUACUGGGCGUAAAGGGCGCGUAGGCGGAUCGGUAAGUCAGGGGUGAAAUCCCAGAGCUCAACUCUGGAACUGCCCCUGAUACUGGCGAUCUUGAGUGUGAGAGAGGUAUGUGGAACUCCGAGUGUAGAGGUGAAAUUCGUAGAUAUUCGGAAGAACACCAGUGGCGAAGGCGACAUACUGGCUCAUUACUGACGCUGAGGCGCGAAAGCGUGGGGAGCAAACAGGAUUAGAAACCCGGGUAGUCC
rnacentral:rRNA from 1 species